GGGUUGUGAGGUUAAGCGACUAAGCGUACACGGUGGAUGCCCUGGCAGUCAGAGGCGAUGAAGGACGUGCUAAUCUGCGAUAAGCGUCGGUAAGGUGAUAUGAACCGUUAUAACCGGCGAUUUCCGAAUGGGGAAACCCAGUGUGUUUCGACACACUAUCAUUAACUGAAUCCAUAGGUUAAUGAGGCGAACCGGGGGAACUGAAACAUCUAAGUACCCCGAGGAAAAGAAAUCAACCGAGAUUCCCCCAGUAGCGGCGAGCGAACGGGGAGGAGCCCAGAGCCUGAAUCAGUGUGUGUGUUAGUGGAAGCGUCUGGAAAGGCGCGCGAUACAGGGUGACAGCCCCGUACACAAAAAUGCACAUAUUGUGAGCUCGAUGAGUAGGGCGGGACACGUGGUAUCCUGUCUGAAUAUGGGGGGACCAUCCUCCAAGGCUAAAUACUCCUGACUGACCGAUAGUGAACCAGUACCGUGAGGGAAAGGCGAAAAGAACCCCGGCGAGGGGAGUGAAAAAGAACCUGAAACCGUGUACGUACAAGCAGUGGGAGCCUCUUUUAUGGGGUGACUGCGUACCUUUUGUAUAAUGGGUCAGCGACUUAUAUUCUGUAGCAAGGUUAACCGAAUAGGGGAGCCGAAGGGAAACCGAGUCUUAACUGGGCGUUAAGUUGCAGGGUAUAGACCCGAAACCCGGUGAUCUAGCCAUGGGCAGGUUGAAGGUUGGGUAACACUAACUGGAGGACCGAACCGACUAAUGUUGAAAAAUUAGCGGAUGACUUGUGGCUGGGGGUGAAAGGCCAAUCAAACCGGGAGAUAGCUGGUUCUCCCCGAAAGCUAUUUAGGUAGCGCCUCGUGAACUCAUCUCCGGGGGUAGAGCACUGUUUCGGCAAGGGGGUCAUCCCGACUUACCAACCCGAUGCAAACUGCGAAUACCGGAGAAUGUUAUCACGGGAGACACACGGCGGGUGCUAACGUCCGUCGUGAAGAGGGAAACAACCCAGACCGCCAG
rnacentral:rRNA from 1 species